rnacentral:rRNA from 1 species
UUGCAGGCUGCAACUCGCCUGCAUGAAGUCGGAAUUGCUAGUAAUCGUGGAUCAGCAUGCCACGGUGAAUACGUUCCCGGGCCUUGUACACACCGCCCGUCACACCAUGGGAGUCGGUAACACCCGAAGCCUGUAGUCUAACCGCAAGGGGGACGCAGUCGAAGGUGGGAUUGAUAAUUAGGGUGAAGUCGUAACAAGGUAAC